AUUGAACGCUGGCGGCAUGCCUUACACAUGCAAGUCGAACGGCAGCGGACCUUCGGGUGCCGGCGAGUGGCGAACGGGUGAGUAAUGUAUCGGAACGUACCUUUCAGUGGGGGAUAACGUAGCGAAAGUUACGCUAAUACCGCAUAUUCUGUGAGCAGGAAGGCAGGGGACCGCAAGACCUUGCGCUGAUUGAGCGGCCGAUAUCAGAUUAGCUAGUUGGUGAGGUAAAGGCUCACCAAGGCGACGAUCUGUAGCGGGUCUGAGAGGAUGAUCCGCCACACUGGAACGGAGACACGGUCCAGACUCCUACGGGAGGCAGCAGUGGGGAAUUUUGGACAAUGGGGGCAACCCUGAUCCAGCCAUGCCGCGUGAGUGAAGAAGGCCUUCGGGUUGUAAAGCUCUUUCGGCCGGGAAGAAAUCGCGUUGGCUAAUACCCAGCGUGGAUGACGGUACCGGAAUAAGAAGCACCGGCUAACUACGUGCCAGCCGCCGCAGUAACAC
rnacentral:rRNA from 1 species